GACGAACGCUGGCGGCGUGCUUAACACAUGCAAGUCGAACGGUGAAGCCCUUCGGGGUGGAUCAGUGGCGAACGGGUGAGUAACACGUGAGCAACCUGCCCCUGGCUCUGGGACAACCACUGGAAACGGUGGCUAAUACCGGAUACGACCCGCCUCGGCAUCGAGUGUGGGUGGAAAGUUUUUCGGCUGGGGAUGGGCUCGCGGCCUAUCAGCUUGUUGGUGAGGUGAAGGCUCACCAAGGCGACGACGGGUAGCCGGCCUGAGAGGGCGACCGGCCACACUGGGACUGAGACACGGCCCAGACUCCUACGGGAGGCAGCAGUGGGGAAUAUUGCACAAUGGGCGAAAGCCUGAUGCAGCGACGCCGCGUGAGGGAGGACGGCCUUCGGGUUGUAAACCUCUUUCAGCUCCGAAGAAGCGAAAGUGACGGUAGGAGCAGAAGAAGCACCGGCUAACUACGU
rnacentral:rRNA from 1 species